UCCUCGUUAAAAAGAUAACCCAGGUGUGUUAUCUUCAAUUUCUCAAUAACGCGUGCAAAGUUUUUCGUCUGUAACGUAUAACAUCAAAACAUUAUGAGCUCAGAAUAUGCGGUUCGUUGAAAAUAAUUAAAAAUAUUAUGAGGUUUCGUAUGUAACAAAGAAAAACUAUUCUAUACUAUGGUCGAAAUGAUAACACAAUCUGUUAAUAUGUUUAGAAAUUGCUCAGUAGUUCAUGAUCUAUCAACGAGUAAAGAUUACAGUACAAUAUUAUAUAAAUUUACGAAAAAGAUUCAACUUGGAUGGUCCUGAUAGAUUUCAAUAUUAUUUUCAUGACACAAGAAAAGAGACGAUGUCAGCAAUUCGACGACAAAUGGGAGGAGGCAGCGUGAUGGUUUGGGCCAGCGUCGGUUAUUUCGGCAAGACAAGUAUCAAGUUCAUCGACGGCAGAAUGAAUAGUGUUUGAUACAUAAAUUUAAUCAAAAAACAAAUAAAUAAUCAUGCAGAACGCAUUUCUGGAUCUAAUUGCAUCUUUCAACAAGAUAAUGCAUUUGUACACACAUCAACAUUGGUUCUAUUUUAUUUUAAUGAAAAUAAUAUAUUUAUUUUGUCGUGGCGUGCACGCUGCCCGGACCUUAAUAUUAUUGAAAAUUGCUGGGCAGAACUUGUUCACGGCGUAUACGCAAAUAGAAAGAAAUAUCAACAGGUACAAGAAUUAAAAAAUACAAUUGUACGCGAAUGGGAUACGUUUAGUCAAAAUUACAUCCAGAAACUAUAUAAAUCGAUACCACAUCGUAUAAUAGAAGUAAUAGAAAAUAAAGAGGAUCUACCCAUUAUUAAAUAAGUAUAUGUGUUUGAUAAGUAAUUAUUGUUAGUUACAAUUUAUGUUGAUUAUUAUUUUCUUAUUGUACAUGUGCUUCUUCUCGUUCUUAAAAUAAAACAAUUUUUUUUUGUUACACACUAAACCUCAUAAUA